GAUGAACGCUGGCGGCGUGCUUAACACAUGCAAGUCGAACGGUGAACACGGAGCUUGCUCUGUGGGAUCAGUGGCGAACGGGUGAGUAACACGUGAGCAACCUGCCCCUGACUCUGGGAUAAGCGCUGGAAACGGCGUCUAAUACUGGAUACGAGUAGCGGCCGCAUGGUCAGUUACUGGAAAGAUUUUUUGGUUGGGGAUGGGCUCGCGGCCUAUCAGCUUGUUGGUGAGGUAAUGGCUCACCAAGGCGUCGACGGGUAGCCGGCCUGAGAAGGGGACCGGCCACACUGGGACUGAGACACGGCCCAGACUCCUACGGGAGGCAGCAGUGGGGAAUAUUGCACAAUGGGCGAAAGCCUGUUGCAGCAACGCCGCGUGAGGGAUGACGGCUUUCGGGUUGUAAACCUCUUUUAGCAGGGAAGAAGCGAAAGUGACGGUACCUGCAGAAAAAGCGCCGGCUAACUACGUGCCAGCCGCCGCCGUAA
rnacentral:rRNA from 1 species